CAGGCACUGAUCGGGGCAGCCCGGGGGCCUCGCGGCGCCGCGCUUUGGGCGGGCCCCGCACCUUCGCGCCUCAACCACGCCCCUCCGCUCCUGGGCGGGGCCGCCCGACAGCGUGUGACGUCACGGAUGGGCGGGCGCCAUUUUGAGGCGGUCCCUGAGGCGUGUGGGGUAUCGUGUGUGGUGCAACUAUCGCAGCAGCUGCCCAGAAUGAAUCUCCAUAUGGAUGGCUGGGAUCUCCUACCAGGUGAUGCUGCAAAGUCUCCAGCAGAAAUGGAUGGAUAUGGCUGAGCUCACCUGCUGAGUGUGCAGCACGCUCAUUGCUGCCUGCCAGGUAACAGUGCUGCUAAGUCCCCGUGUCACAGAUUCCUGACAUGCACUCAACUUCCCGAACCAGGCGGCAGCAAAACGCAGCUCCACGCACAGUGGCUGCGCACCUUUAGUGGUGCUUGUGAUGUUACUCAUUAGCUCAAGCUGUGCGCCAGAGCGAGCACGUGCAAACCCAUCCUAAUGCUGAAGCGGGAGCACUGCAGGAAGUGUGCCCUCGUGGGGGCGAAGUUCAGUGGCAACUGAUCCUCUUUGGAAGGGUGAUAGAAUGCUAAAUCACAGGGAUGCAGAGUUGCAGUGGGGGGACAGUUAGGAUUUCGAUGCAAAACUACAGCACUGUUGUCACCAUGUGGGUGGAUGACAUACUCGGCUGAGUCGCAGACUUCUCCCCCAGGCCCACAGGUUCACGGUGGGUUACAGAGCGGCGAGUGGCCCCGCUCUGUGUGACAGGGCUCGGCUUUGGCCUUCACAGCGCUCGUGUGGGGACAGCGAUGGCAGGAAAUGGUGGAAAAGUCGGACAGAAGCAUCUCAGAGAGCGCCUUCGGUGCGCGGGGAGAAGGGUGACCUGCGGGGUGGGACGGC
ensembl:lncRNA